GACGAACGCUGGCGGCGUGCUUAACACAUGCAAGUCGAACGGAAAGGCCCUGCUUUUGUGGGGUGCUCGAGUGGCGAACGGGUGAGUAACACGUGAGUAACCUGCCCUUGACUUUGGGAUAACUUCAGGAAACUGGGGCUAAUACCGGAUAGCAGCUCCUGCUGCAUGGUGGGGGUUGGAAAGUUUCGGCGGUUGGGGAUGGACUCGCGGCUUAUCAGCUUGUUGGUGGGGUAGUGGCUUACCAAGGCUUUGACGGGUAGCCGGCCUGAGAGGGUGACCGGCCACAUUGGGACUGAGAUACGGCCCAGACUCCUACGGGAGGCAGCAGUGGGGAAUAUUGCACAAUGGGCGGAAGCCUGAUGCAGCAGCGCCGCGUGCGGGAUGACGGCCUUCGGGUUGUAAACCGCUUUCGCCUGUGACGAAGCGUGAGUGACGGUAAUGGGUAAAGAAGCACCGGCUAACUACGUG
rnacentral:rRNA from 1 species